ensembl:lncRNA
UUUUUUUUUUUUUUUUUUUUUUUUUUUUUGGUUGGUUGGUUUUUUUCCACUGGGGAAAAAAAUAAAACCAAACCAAAUUUUGGUCCCAAGGACUUUAAUCUAAUUCUCUGCCAAAAUAAAUGGAAUCACACUGGAAGAAUAUUUUUCCACUGCAUUGUGCUGUUAUGGAUUUAUGCUUCCCAGACACUAGUGUCACUCAGCCCACCACAUUUCUUGUGAUGCCUGUCACUCACAGAAGAGAACAGUAGCUCCCUGUAUAUCCUGACUGAGCAACAUGACAGUCAGUGGAUUUUUAAUGAGAUAAUUCAGUUCAUGGAAGAGCUGAGCCACAGCUGAUAAGUGAAUAUAAAAUUACAGCCCUUGCUCUUUUAAUCCCUCCUGCUUACUUUACAUGAAAACAGAGUCUUUGUAAGCAUCAUACUGGAAGCUCAUUAUACAAGAGGAAUAAAAUUCAGCUCCUUGUUUUUAUGUUGUUUUUGUUGGAGACAUAUCCCAUGUAGGGAUCUCAACUAUAAAGAAGCAUUAAUGUAAAAGAAAGAAAGAAUGGGAUCAGUGACAAGCCUAAUUGGCUUUUUCAAAUGUUUAAAACAUGAGGCCAGCACAUUUAUGUAUGUGAUGUACAUGAGAUGAGUUUCUGAUAAAGAAUUAAGAAUCUUACAAUGGCAUACUGAGUAUGUGUGGAUUUCCAGGCAUUGGUUUGGGCUAAGACAUUAACUGAGGGUAAAUAAUCCCCAGUAGUUAUUAUUUCCAUUGGAACAAGGAGCCUGAUGCAUCUGCAGUAGCAGUGCUAAAUUUUGCUCCAGAAAUCUGGCAGAAGUCUCCUUAGGUGAAGAGGAAAAACAAUUUGUUACCUGGAAUUCUGGGAGCCUUUCAGAGAAAGGUACCCUUGUUCUGCAGAGCACAGGACAUGCAUUUGUUUCUGUGGCACGCAGGAGGUGAGGAGCCCUGUCCCGGUCCCCACACAGUCAGACCCUGCUCCCGUGCUGGCGUCAUUCAGCAGGGAUGGCUCUGAGCCCCAUGUCUGUCCCAUGUCCUGCAGGGUGUCCAUCAGCACCCCCAGGAGAGGUGGAUGACGAUGGAAUGAUGUCCCUAAUGGAAUAAUUCAUCUGGUACCCGCUUGGUCUCCCAGCAGCUUCCACUAUAACUCCGUGUCACCACAGAAUCACACUUGCACCACAACAUUUCUCUUUUCUCGCUGUUGUUUUGUCUCCUGAGCACAUUUCUGGAGCUUUGUUGUUCCCUGAUGGCUUUGUGUGUGCUGCUUACCUUGAGGAAGGUUUGUUUACAGUUGCAGAGUAGCCUCUGAAUUUAAGCCACCACAGCCCUGACAAACAUUAAUUUCACUUUCCAUUGUUUACUUUUAAUUUUUCUUGCUUUUCUGUAUCAGGUUUCCUUAGUGUAACAGGAUCUGAGCAGUGGGGAGUUUGACAUUUGCUCACGGACAUGCAAAAACUCCAAUGAACUUGGUGGAUUUUAGAUUACAGCUUCUAUAGGGAAAAAUCAGAGAUUCAACAAAGGUGAUUCAAAUUGUAAGCAAAGUCAGUUAUUCAAAAAGAUCCCAUUAUUUAUUUUCAAAUGCAAUUAUUUUCACUACAGUUUGGGUGCAGGAGUAUAACAUUUGUGAAAAUACAGCCGUGGGCAAUUUGAAAACAUUUAUUUUGAAGCAGACACAUGUUUUCAUUCUUUUCUUCAUCAGAAAUGUUUAAUUAGAUUCAGGUGUCCUUUUAAGAAGGUUACUUGCUGCAUAAUUGGUUAACUCACCACACCUGUGAGUUCGUUUGAUUAAUGAGGAAAAAUGCCCAGUUACUUAACCCAAGCUGUGUCCUGGGUGCUUCCUGAGCAGUGUCCCAAGAGCUGAGUUGAAGCCAGCUGUACUGGGAAAGGUCAAAAACCCAUUUCCAGAGCCCUUGUCUGAAGAAUGUUAAAAAUUCUGCUGCGAUCUGCUUUUAUUGCACAUUAGUUUUAAUAGGAUAUUAUUGGUUUGUGAAUACCCUUUUCCCAGAUGCUGCUACAAUGUAGUUUUUAUUGCAUAGCAGUUUUAAUGUGAUUUUACUGCUUUAAAAAAACACUUUUCACCAUUCUUGACUUGCUACUGUGGCUGUACCAAUAUGUUUGCACAUUACUGUUACUGCUGUCUUAAAAUCAAGGUUAAAGCAAUCACAGUAGGGCUGUGCAGAAUGAAUGAUAAUUGAAAAUGCACCUAGCAGGAUGCUCUUGAUAUUCUAUAAACAAACAAAGAAGAAUCUUUAUUCAUUAUUUAUCAGUUGUUCUUUGUGACAUUUCUUUACAGGAUGUAUCUUUUUCCUUUCACAGAGCUGAGCCAAAACAUAUGUCAGGCCAGAUGCAUACAUUUACCUCUCUCCUUUCUUCCACACUGAAUCACAAUCAGUUUGAUUUUUCCCAAACUGUGCUUUCCUCAUUAAUUUACUCCAUUUGCAGAGAGUACCAUACAGAAGGUUUUAAAUAUUGGCACAAGAUUUUGGUACCUAAUUGUUCUAUCAGUGCCCUGGUAUUCCAAGAUGUAUUAAAAAAUUUAAAUCAGUAAAAAUUGUUGACCCAAAAUUUUAGGCUUCUGCAUAGAAAUAAUCUAGAUUGCCUGACUAAAAAGCAUGCAUCCCCCGUGGUUAUCAUUUAGUAUCUUCUUUACAACUGAUAGGCUGGAGAGCACCUGUUUUCACAGGAUACAGGUGCAAUGUCCUGUUUUUUUUGCAGUUU